UUUUAGCCCCGAUUGUAGUGAAAAUCCUUUUGUAAGCUUUGUCAAAGUUUUGAACUUUGACAAAGCUUACAAAAGAUUGAAACGGAAAGCGGGACUAUAU
rnacentral:sRNA from 1 species